rnacentral:lncRNA from 1 species
CCCCAUAUGUCGGUCACGUGACUCGCCGCGUCCGGAGGUGACCCCGCAGCCACACAGUCACGUGAUUCCCCUUUGUGGGCGUGGCCAAGCGCAUUAACCCCGCCCCCUCGGCCCACUCCGUCCCUCAGCCAAUCAGAGCGCGAGGCGGGAGCCAUAUGGGCGGGGCUUCGAGCCACGCUUCCACCCCUUCAUUUUGACCAAUCAGCGUUGAGAUAGGCGGGACUACUUCGCCCUCCCACCAAUCAGCUCUCGGCCCGCUCGCGGUUUGUGGGCGGGGCUUUGUGUGGUAUCAGCCAAUGGGAAGGAGCGGGGGGCGGAGCUUCGUGAGGACAUGGGGCAGCGCGCGGCGGUGAGCGCGGGAAGGGGACCCCGAAACCCACCGGAAAUACCCGAACCCCAACCGGAAGUACCCGAACCCCCAACCGGAAGUACCCGAACCCUUCCGGAAAUACCCGAACCCACAAACCCGGAAGUUCCCGAGUUCACCCGAGGGUGGGGGGAUGGGGUCUCUAUAGGGCGGCUGUGGGGUCUCUAUGGAACCCUAUGGGGUCUCUAUGGGGUCCCUAUGGGGUCUCUAUAGGGUCUCUAUGGGGUCCCUAUGGGUCUCAAUGGAUCUCAAUGGAACCCUAUGGGGUCUCUAUGGAACCCUAUGGGGUCUCUAUGGGGCGGCUAUGGGGUCUCUAUGGGGUCCCUAUGGGUCUCAAUGGAACCCUAUGGGGCAGCUAUGGGGCGGCUAUGGGGUCUCUAUGGGGUCCCUAUGGGUCCCUAUGGGUCUCAAUGGAACCCUAUGGGGUCUCUAUGGGGUCUCUAUGGGGUCCCUAUGAGUCUCAAUGGAUCUCAAUGGAACCCUAUGGGGUCUCUAUGGGGCAGCUAUGGGGUCUCUAUGGGUCUCUAUGGGGUCUCUAUGGGGCGGCUAUGGGGUCUCUAUGGGUCUCUAUGGGGCAGCUAUGGGGUCUCUAUGGGGUCCCUAUGGAUCUCAAUGGAACCCUAUGGGGCAGCUAUGGGGCAGCUAUGGGGUCUCUAUGGGGUCUCUAUGGGGUCCCUAUGGGUCUCAAUGGAACCCUAUGGGGUCUCUAUGGGGCAGCUAUGGGGUCUCUAUGGGGUCUCUAUGGGGUCCCUAUGGGUCUCAAUGGAAACCUAUGGGGUCUCUAUGGGGCAGCUAUGGGGUCUCAAUGGAUCUCAAUGGAACCCUAUGGGGUCUCUAUGGGUCUCUAUGGUUUUCAAUGGAACCCUAUGGGGACUCUUAUGGGGCAGCUAUGGGGCUGUGGUGGGGGUCCCUAUGGGGUGGGGCUAUAGGGCGGCUAUGGGGCGGCUAUAGGGCGGCUAUGGGGUCUCUAUGGGGCCCCUAUGGGGUCCCUAUGGGU